rnacentral:tRNA from 2 species
UGGGGUAUCGCCAAGCGGUAAGGCACCGGGUUUUGAUCCCGGCAUUCCUAGGUUCGAAUCCUAGUACCCCAG